AAGCUGUUUGGGCUUGGGUACAGUCAUCCCAAAAACAAAUUCCAAGGCGCGUGGUAAAUCUCCCAAACGUAAAGUCACUGAGUGGUAAAAAUAUCCGAAUAUUGUAUAAUGAACUGACGAAUAGACCGUUCCAUAAAAUCCCCGACAAGCAGAUAUCUUGGAGAGUGUAGACAUGGAGCUGAUUAUUGUAAGAGUUUAUCAUUAUUGGACUUUCGAAAAACAUGUGAAUUGAUUUCCUACUGUAAAGACGAAAAAAGAUGCAAUAAAAUCCACGAAUGAAAAUA